rnacentral:rRNA from 1 species
GAUGAACGCUGGCGGCGUGCCUAAUACAUGCAAGUCGAGCGAACGGACGAGAAGCUUGCUUCUCUGAAGUUAGCGGCGGACGGGUGAGUAACACGUGGAUAACCUACCUAUAAGACUGGGAUAACUUCGGGAAACCGGAGCUAAUACCGGAUAAUAUUUUGAACCGCAUGGUUCAAAAGUGAAAGACGGUCUUGCUGUCACUUAUAGAUGGAUCCGCGCUGCAUUAGCUAGUUGGUAAGGUAACGGCUUACCAAGGCAACGAUGCAUAGCCGACCUGAGAGGGUGAUCGGCCACACGGGAACUGAGACACGGUCAAGACUCCUACGGGAGGCAGCAGUAGGGAAUCUUCCGCAAUGGGCGAAAGCCUGACGGAGCAACGCCGCGUGAGUGAUGAAGGUCUUCGGAUCGUAAAACUCUGUUAUUAGGGAAGAACAUAUGUGUAAGUAACUGUGCACAUCUUGACGGUACCUAAUCAGAAAGCCACGGCUAACUACGUG